rnacentral:rRNA from 1 species
AGAGUUUGAUCCUGGCUCAGAACGAACGCUGGCGGCAUGCCUAACACAUGCAAGUCGAACGGACGGCAGCAAUACCGUUAGUGGCGAACGGGUGAGUAACACGUGGGAACCUGCCUGGUCGUACGGAAUAACUGCGGGAAACUGCAGCUAAUACCGUAUGUGUCCUGAGGGAGAAAGGAGCAAUCCGCGACCAGAGGGGCCCGCGUCCGAUUAGCUAGUUGGUGGGGUAACGGCCUACCAAGGCGACGAUCGGUAGCUGGUCUGAGAGGAUGAUCAGCCACACUGGACUGAGACACGGCCCAGACUCCUACGGGAGGCAGCAGUGGGGAAUAUUGGACAAUGGGGGAAACCCUGAUCCAGCAAUGCCGCGUGGGUGAUGAAGGCCUUCGGGUUGUAAAGCCCUUUCGGCGGGGACGAUGAUGACGGUACCCGCAGAAGAAGCCCCGGCUAACUUCGUGCCAGCAGCCGCGGUAAUACGAAGGGGGCUAGCGUUGUUCGGAAUUACUGGGCGUAAAGGGCGCGCAGGCGGCUUGACGAGUUGGGCGUGAAAGGCCUGGGCUUAACCCGGGAACUGCGCUCGAUACUGUCAGGCUCGAGUGUGGGAGAGGAUGGUGGAAUUCCUAGUGUAGAGGUGAAAUUCGUAGAUAUUAGGAAGAACACCGGCGGCGAAGGCGGCCAUCUGGACCACAACUGACGCUGAGGCGCGAAAGCGUGGGGAGCAAACAGGAUUAGAUACCCUGGUAGUCCACGCUGUAAACGAUGAGUGCUAGACGUUGGGGGGCCUAGCUCACCAGUGUCGC